CAGUGGCCUGUCACCUUGCAAGGGACAGUGUGGGGCUUGCUGAUAUUGUUCCCCCAGUAGCAUCUAUGCCCAGGAACCAUGGAGAGCUUGGCCAGGAUGAUAGCCCCUUGGAUGGCAGUGGCUACCUCCCUGAAGCAUUCACACCCAGAAUGAUUUGGCCGUUGCAGUCUGAAUGGCAACAAGCGCCUUGAACCUGGUGCACUGGCCAGUGCAGGUCUGCUUCUGCACCAGCAUGAUCUUUAAAACCUCAUCUUUGAGAGAAGCCCCCAGCAAAAAGUAAUAAUGAUAUCAGACUCUUUGAUGGGGAGGGAGAAGAGACAGACCUUCUCCAGGGACUUGAUCGUCAUGUCCUUGACCAGGCAGGCCAGCCUGGUGACAGGCAUCCACUCCUUAUCCUCACCCUUGCCUCCAAGAGCACCACAGCCUUGGAGCUCUCAUGGCCCUGGCCCUGGCCCUGCACCUGGCCCUGACCCCAGCCCCAGACUGCCAGUGCUGAAGCCUCUGUAGAGACUGUUGCAGUUCCUCAUCCCAGGGCCCCAUUUGGAGUUUUCUCAGAAGAAACUCUGUCAUCUUCGUACAUGAGAAAUGUAAAAACUAUGUUUUCCACAUUGUGGUUCAUGUUUUCUGUUACUUGCAGCUGAACGCAUUCCUGUGCCAUCAAUCAUGUCCACUUUAGAGAUAAACAGGUUCUCAAAAAAGGGGAGGUCUCCCUUUGGAGCCAGCUUGUUUCCUGGAACUGGAGAUUCAGGUGGAAGAGGAGAAAAGUCCGUCUGCCUGGGGGUUGAGCUGGGGAUGAAGAGUAGAGUUUCUGGCAGAGAAGUCUUGGGGGUCUUCAAACUGAUUGGCAUCCGCUGUUGUGCUGGAAUUCAAGAUCUGAAAAACAUCUUAAGCAAUUGAUAAACAGAAGCCAUGGUCAGGCAUGGUGGCUCAUGCCUAUAAUCCCAGGACCUUGGGAGGCUGAGCUUGGAGGAUCACGAGCUCAGGCGAUAGAGACCAUCCUGUCCAACAAGGGGAAACCUAGUCUCUACUAAAGAUACAAAAAAUUAGCCGGGCGUGGUGACGCGAGCCUGUAGUUUCAGCUACUCGGAAGGCUGAGGCAGGAGAAUCGCUUGAACUUGGGAGGUGGAGGUUGCAGUGAGCUGAGAAAAAAACAGCCAUGUGAUUCUAAUGUCAGAAAUCCUAUCGAACAAUAAGAACAAUGGGGAUGCUGAUGAUCAGUGUUACGGUUGCAAGGAAGUGGGUGAAAGGGCAGCCUGAUUAAUGCUUAAUUAUAACCACAUUUCUGUCCAGGGUUCUUGUUAACCCUGUGAAGGCAGCUUCAGGAACAGUAGAGAGCAUUUGAAAUCAGCACUGUUUUUGAGAACUUUGGCCUAUCCCACUAGCGGGCCUGUGGAUCUUCCUUUAGAAAUGUACCAAAUUGGCUGGGCACGGUGGUUCACGCCUGUAAUCCCAGCACUUUGGGAGGCUGAGACGGGUGGAUCACAUGAGGUUAGAAGUUCAAGACCAGCCUGGCCAACAUGAUGAAAUCCUCAUCUCUACUAAAAAUACAAAAAAAUUAGCCAGGAGUGGUGGCGGGCACCUAUAAUCCCAGCUACCCAGGAGGCUGAGGCAGCUUGAACUGGGGAAGUGGGGGUUGCAGUCCAAGAUUGUGCCACUGCACUCCAGCCUGGGUGACAGAGUGAGACUCUGUCUAAAAAAAAGAGAAAUUUACCAAACUUGGCUGAGAGAGGCUUGAGAGUGACUCCUCAUGGUGUUAGAAUUUUUUUUUGAGACGGAGUUUUGGUCUUGUUUCCCAGGAUGGAGGGCAAUGGUGCAAUCUCAGCUCACCGCAACCUCCGCCUCCUGGGUUCAGGCAAUUCUCCUUCCUCAGCCUCCUGAGUAGCUGGGAUUACAGGCAUGCGCCACCAUGCCCAGCUAAUUUUUUGUAUUUUUAGUAGAGACAGGGUUUCACCAUGUUGACCAGGAUGGUCUCGAUCUCUUGACCUCGUGAUUCACCCGCCUCGGCCUCCCAAAGUGCUGGGAUUACAGGCUUGAGCCACCAUGCCAGGCCAUGCCGCAAAAGUAGCACUCAAGUAUAAAUGUCCUCAGCAAGGCAAUUUACUUCUAUAGAAGGGUGCAGCUCACAGAUGGAACGAUGGUGAGUGUACACCUGGACAAGGAGGGGAGGGUACUUAUGCCUGACGGGGGUCGCCCCUGCUGCCGUGUCAUUCCCCUGUUGGCUAGGGUUAGACCACGCAAGCUAGACUCAUCCCAAGUGGCUAUUUUAAAGAGAGCAGGGGUCCGAGCUGGAGUGGCAGGGUGAGUGUUUUGGCGGGAAGGAUGGUUAUGGGCGGGUCAGAGCAGGUAGCCAGGGGUGACCUAGGUCAAAGAAGGUGACUGGAGCAGGUGACCGGGAUGAGUCAGGAUGUGGCAGGGGACCAGGGGAACAGAUGUGAACUACUCAUUAGAACUGGUGGAGAAGGUUGUUUACUGAAACUACAAGGAAGUCAAACUUUAAGAUAGAGAAUUAAAGAAUAAGAGAGCUGAACAUACUGACAUACUGAUUCUUUGAAGAGGAAACUGAGGUUCACUACGUCUCACAAUAGCGAAAGCGAGUCACAUAGGGAAGACAGGACAGGUGUUUUUCCUUUAGUGAUCUUUCUAGAUUCUGACAGCCAAAUCAUUUUUCACGUUGAUACCAAAUAUAUCCUAAAAUGGGAGUUUAAUCAUGCCUCUCUCCUCCUCAAAAACCCACAGUAGCUCCCUAUUGCCGACAGGGUA
rnacentral:lncRNA from 1 species